GAAGUGUUGGGAAUUUUGCUUUGAGUAUCACCAACAAAUCACUAGUUGUAUUUUUGAUAUAUAAUAUCUCAAAUCACUCUCGUAUCACAUUUUUUACAAUGGUUUCGCAGUCAAAGUCUCACAAUAACAAAAAUUCCUGUUUUAAAGGAAAACUAUGUAUCACGCUAUCGCGCGUGGAGUUCACGUGUUCUAUUACUAUUUUAACUAUAGACUGAGGUAAAGUCUCCGACACACUCCCCCAUGUAUGUUCUGUCCGAGACAUACAUGCACUCUCAGACUUUAUAACGCAAAUGUAAACACUAAAUAAUGUAAUUAUAGUCAUCAGUUCCAACUUUACUAUCAAGUUUGAACAUCGUGCUAGUCCGAC